UACAGAGGUCUCAAGCGUUGUUCGGAUUCAUUGGGCGUAAAGGGCGCGUAGGCGGCGGGGUAAGUCGGGUGUGAAAUCUCAGAGCUCAACUCUGAAACUGCACUCGAUACUGCUCUGCUUGAGGACUGGAGAGGAGACUGGAAUUCACGGUGUAGCAGUGAAAUGCGUAGAUAUCGUGAGGAAGACCAGUGGCGAAGGCGGGUCUCUGGGCAGUAACUGACGCUGAGGAGCGAAAGCGUGGGGAGCGAACAGG
rnacentral:rRNA from 1 species